rnacentral:rRNA from 2 species
CUUAUGCGUUGUUGGGUAGGGGAGCGUUCUGUAAGCCUGCGAAGGUGGCCUGUGAGGGUUGCUGGAGGUAUCAGAAGUGCGAAUGCUGACAUAAGUAACGAUAAAGCGGGUGAAAAGCCCGCUCGCCGGAAGACCAAGGGUUCCUGUCCAACGUUAAUCGGGGCAGGGUGAGUCGACCCCUAAGGCGAGGCCGAAAGGCGUAGUCGAUGGGAAACGGGUUAAUAUUCCCGUACUUGGUGUUACUGCGAAGGGGGGACGGAGAAGGCUAUGUUGGCCGGGCGACGGUUGUCCCGGUUUAAGCGUGUAGGUGUGUGUUCCAGGUAAAUCCGGUUCACUUUAACACUGAGGCGUGACGACGAGGCACUACGGUGCUGAAGCAACAAAUGCCCUGCUUCCAGGAAAAGCCUCUAAGCAUCAGGUAACAUCAAAUCGUACCCCAAACCGACACAGGUGGUCAGGUAGAGAAUACCAAGGCGCUUGAGAGAACUCGGGUGAAGGAACUAGGCAAAAUGGUGCCGUAACUUCGGGAGAAGGCACGCUGACACGUAGGUGAAGUGAUUUACUCAUGGAGCUGAAGUCAGUCGAAGAUACCAGCUGGCUGCAACUGUUUAUUAAAAACACAGCACUGUGCAAACACGAAAGUGGACGUAUACGGUGUGACGCCUGCCCGGUGCCGGAAGGUUAAUUGAUGGGGUCAGCGCAAGCGAAGCUCCUGAUCGAAGCCCCGGUAAACGGCGGCCGUAACUAUAACGGUCCUAAGGUAGCGAAAUUCCUUGUCGGGUAAGUUCCGACCUGCACGAAUGGCGUAAUGAUGGCCAGGCUGUCUCCACCCGAGACUCAGUGAAAUUGAACUCGCUGUGAAGAUGCAGUGUACCCGCGGCAAGACGGAAAGACCCCGUGAACCUUUACUAUAGCUUGACACUGAACAUUGAGCCUUGAUGUGUAGGAUAGGUGGGAGGCUUUGAAGUGUGGACGCCAGUCUGCAUGGAGCCGACCUUGAAAUACCACCCUUUAAUGUUUGAUGUUCUAACGUGGACCCGUUACCCGGGUUGCGGACAGUGUCUGGUGGGUAGUUUGACUGGGGCGGUCUCCUCCUAAAGAGUAACGGAGGAGCACGAAGGUUGGCUAAUCCUGGUCGGACAUCAGGAGGUUAGUGCAAUGGCAUAAGCCAGCUUGACUGCGAGCGUGACGGCGCGAGCAGGUGCGAAAGCAGGUCAUAGUGAUCCGGUGGUUCUGAAUGGAAGGGCCAUCGCUCAACGGAUAAAAGGUACUCCGGGGAUAACAGGCUGAUACCGCCCAAGAGUUCAUAUCGACGGCGGUGUUUGGCACCUCGAUGUCGGCUCAUCACAUCCUGGGGCUGAAGUAGGUCCCAAGGGUAUGGCUGUUCGCCAUUUAAAGUGGUACGCGAGCUGGGUUUAGAACGUCGUGAGACAGUUCGGUCCCUAUCUGCCGUGGGCGCUGGAGAACUGAGGGGGGCUGCUCCUAGUACGAGAGGACCGGAGUGGACGCAUCACUGGUGUUCGGGUUGUCAUGCCAAUGGCACUGCCCGGUAGCUAAAUGCGGAAGAGAUAAGUGCUGAAAGCAUCUAAGCACGAAACUUGCCCCGAGAUGAGUUCUCC